rnacentral:rRNA from 1 species
GACGAACGCUGGCGGCGUGCUUAACACAUGCAAGUCGAACGCUGAAGCUCAGCUUUUGUUGGGUGGAUGAGUGGCGAACGGGUGAGUAACACGUGAGUAACCUGCCCCCUUCUUUGGGAUAACGCCCGGAAACGGGUGCUAAUACUGGAUAUUCACUGGUCUUCGCAUGGGGGUUGGUGGAAAGGGUUUUUCUGGUGGGGGAUGGGCUCGCGGCCUAUCAGCUUGUUGGUGGGGUGAUGGCCUACCAAGGCUUUGACGGGUAGCCGGCCUGAGAGGGUGACCGGUCACAUUGGGACUGAGAUACGGCCCAGACUCCUACGGGAGGCAGCAGUGGGGAAUAUUGCACAAUGGGCGAAAGCCUGAUGCAGCGACGCCGCGUGAGGGAUGGAGGCCUUCGGGUUGUGAACCUCUUUCGCUCAUGGUCAAGCCGCAACAAUGGUUGUGGUGAGGGUAGUGGGUAAAGAAGCGCCGGCUAACUACGUG